UGCCCUUCAGAGCAACUUUUCUAAAUUUUUCAGUGAGAUGCUACUCAAUUCGUGAAUUGCUAUUAAAAGCCAAUUAGAUCUUUAAACUAAAUUUGUUGAAAAUUUGUCUUUUGACAAUCCUCAAAGCACUACUUUGAAACAGAAUGGAAAUGAACACAACUGGUAGUUAACUAGCUAAAUACGUAUGACUCACAAAACACUAUCAAGCUAACUCUAAAAAUUUAAGGCCCCCUUGGGGGAUGGGGAAGGAAGAAACCUCUAAGAUCACUGUUCUCACUUUUAACAUCUAGUUCAAACCUAAGUUUAGUCACAUUUUAUUAUAUGGGAUCCCAAAUUAAAUAAAAGAAUAAUGAAGCCAAGUACCUACUCAAAGCGCUGAUCUCUAUGGGAUCUAAAACAUCACCUAAAAUGUAACCGAAUAGAAAGAUACAGAACUCAGAGAGACUACAGAACUGAUAAGAAGCUGGAAAGAAUACUUAGCUAAGUAGCUUGAAGUUGAAGACUAAAACCCUUCAGGCUCCUAUAACCAGAGGUGAUUGAUUAGAAUAAUACUAAAUUAUAUUCUAAGGAUCGCAGAGAUUUUAACUGUGAAAUUUUGGUUUGGACAACAGAGUUGCAAAUGUAAAGGCAAAGCUACAUUACUCAUGAUAGCAGAUGACAAGCCAAGUUGCUAUCAACAGUUCUCAGAUAAUAUUAAUUGUUCAAAUGUCUAGCAUUUGAAGGAGUCACAAAUCAUUAGUCUAUUUGGGGACGGCCACAGGUCUUGUUGGCCAUGAUUUACCUGUGCCACCAGUUAAAGGGUUCUGAUUAACAACUCAGUAGUAGUAACCAAAUUUAAGUUGCAAUGUAUAUGUAUGUUGCAUGCAUAAAUAAAUUCAUUUUUCUCUUGUUAACCUGCCGAUUGUCAGUUUAAUUCACAGGUUUCCAGGUACAAACUUAAGAGAGUAUAGAAAAAGUUUUUUGCUUUUCUUCCCUACAUUAAACCUUCAAACAUUCCUUCAAAGUUCUCAAAUUCUAAACCAAAACAACUAAAAGGUGAAAAUAGCCCAUCAACUUAUUUGUCUUCAUGAUGCCAAAUAACUUAAAAGAGUAAGUUGCUUGGAAAUUAAAUUGCUUAAAUUGACCUCUAAUUUGAUAUCUCAUAUGGAAUGGCACAGUACAUUAGAAAGUUUACUAAAGCAGUAAAAGACUGAAAAUCUAAUCUAAUCAAAAAUUAUUGCUGGGUCUCAAAAAUGCUCCUCUUCCCUCCUCAGAUUCAGAAAUGGAGAAAUAAAACAAUGGAGUAGCUGACUGAGGCCAAAAUAAUACUUAUAAAGACAAUAUUAAAGUACACGGCUCUUUAUUUACAUGCAAGCAAUGUGCUUUCUUAAUACCGAACCCUAGAAUUAUGCAGGAUUAUUAAUAAGGAUUAUUAUUCCAACUGGGGUACUCAAGGGAGUGAAAUAUGGUGCUAUGAAUAAUCAUAUUGGGGACGACAUCAAGUGGAAGUGUCCUGGGCAAAACAAGAUAUACGGUCAUCCAGCCAGAACCCAGUUUUCCCUCUGCAGAGUUGAAACCUAGACUCUAGUUCCUCUAGACUACAGAGCCCAAUCGGUGCUCCUUGCAGUUAAGCCUGUUCCAAAACCCCUUGCCUAAUACAUUCUUCCCAAAUUUAUCAAUCACGUUAAGCUAUUUCACCUUCACCAAAGCAGAGAUGAAGGGGAAGUGAAGUAGGAGAGAGAGAGAGAAGGUCACUAAUUGCACUAAUUAAGGUCCCUUUACCUUGAAGGAAAUAUUAAAAAUGGGGAAGAAUUUCUUUCUCUAACGACUU
rnacentral:lncRNA from 1 species